GAUGAACGCUGGCGGCGUGCCUAAUACAUGCAAGUCGAGCGAACGGACGAGAAGCUUGCUUCUCUGAUGUUAGCGGCGGACGGGUGAGUAACACGUGGAUAACCUACCUAUAAGACUGGGAUAACUUCGGGAAACCGGAGCUAAUACCGGAUAAUAUUUUGAACCGCAUGGUUCAACAGUGAAAGACGGUCUUGCUGUCACUUAUAGAUGGAUCCGCGCUGCAUUAGCUAGUUGGUAAGGUAACGGCUUACCAAGGCAACGAUGCAUAGCCGACCUGAGAGGGUGAUCGGCCACACUGGAACUGAGACACGGUCCAGACUCCUACGGGAGGCAGCAGUAGGGAAUCUUCCGCAAUGGGCGAAAGCCUGACGGAGCAACGCCGCGUGAGUGAUGAAGGUCUUCGGAUCGUAAAACUCUGUUAUUAGGGAAGAACAAAUGUGUAAGUAACUGUGCACAUCUUGACGGUACCUAAUCAGAAAGCCACGGCUAACUACGUG
rnacentral:rRNA from 1 species